rnacentral:rRNA from 1 species
GAUGAACGCUGGCGGCGUGCCUAAUACAUGCAAGUCGAGCGAACGGACGAGAAGCUUGCUUCUCUGACGUUAGCGGCGGACGGGUGAGUAACACGUGGAUAACCUACCUAUAAGACUGGGAUAACUUCGGGAAACCGGAGCUAAUACCGGAUAAUAUCUUGAACCGCAUGGUUCAAUAGUGAAAGACGGUUUUGCUGUCACUUAUAGAUGGAUCCGCGCUGCAUUAGCUAGUUGGUAAGGUAACGGCUUACCAAGGCAACGAUGCGUAGCCGACCUGAGAGGGUGAUAGGCCACACGGGAACUGAGACACGGUCCAGACUCCUACGGGAGGCAGCAGUAGGGAAUCUUCCGCAAUGGGCGAAAGCCUGACGGAGCAACGCCGCGUGAGUGAUGAAGGUCUUCGGAUCGUAAAACUCUGUUAUUAGGGAAGAACAGAUGUGUAAGUAACUGCGCACAUCUUGACGGUACCUAAUCAGAAAGCCACGGCUAACUACGUG